rnacentral:rRNA from 1 species
UACGUAGGUGGCAAGCGUUGUCCGGAUUUACUGGGCGUAAAGGGUGUGUAGGCGGAUGUUUAAGUGAGAUGUGAAAUACCCGGGCUUAACUUGGGUGCUGCAUUUCAAACUGGAUAUCUAGAGUGUGGGAGAGGAGAAUGGAAUUCCUAGUGUAGCGGUGAAAUGCGUAGAGAUUAGGAAGAACACCAGUGGCGAAGGCGAUUCUCUGGACCAUAACUGACGCUGAGGCACGAAAGCGUGGGGAGCAAACAGG